GAUGAAGAACGCAGCAAAAUGCGAUAAGUAAUGUGAAUUGCAGAAUUCAGUGAAUCAUCGAAUCUUUGAACGCACAUUGCGCCCGCUGGUAUUCCGGCGGGCAUGCCUGUUCGAGCGUCAUUUCAACCCUCAAGCCCCCGGGUUUGGUGUUGGGGAUCGGCUCUGCCCUUCUGGGCGGUGCCGCCCCCGAAAUACAUUGGCGGUCUCGCUGCAGCCUCCAUUGCGUAGUAGCUAACACCUCGCAACUGGAACGCGGCGCGGCCAUGCCGUAAAACCCCAACUUCUGAAUGUUGACCUCGGAUCAGGUAGGAAUACCCGCUGAACUUAAGCAUAUCAAUAAGUGGAGGA
rnacentral:misc_RNA from 1 species